rnacentral:rRNA from 1 species
AAGGUAGCGAAAUUCCUUGUCGGGUAAGUUCCGACCCGCACGAAAGGCGUAAUGAUUUGGGCACUGUCUCAACGAGAGACUCGGUGAAAUUUUAGUACCUGUGAAGAUGCAGGUUACCCGCGACAGGACGGAAAGACCCCAUGGAGCUUUACUGUAGCUUGAUAUUGAAUGUUUGUGCUGCUUGUACAGAAUAGGUAGGAGACGAAGAAGUUUGGACGCCAGUCUAGACGGAGUCGAA